rnacentral:lncRNA from 1 species
UCGGCCCGCCUAGAUCUGGAAGCGGAGUGCGAGUCAAAGACGGGGGUGUGCGUGGACUGGAUGAAUUGAAUGGAUCCUUCUCGUUGGUGGAGGCGUCGCUGGUCUUGUGGUCGCUGUAAUCGUGGGAGAUGGAGAUGGUUGCGCCGCGGCAGAGAGGAGCUGGCGGACGACGCGAGGUGGGGGUGUUGGUAACGGGCGUGACCGCCGGAGGUGGGAGCGAAUCCGGCGGCGGUGGCGUAGGACGGAGCGGGGCACACGGGUUCUUGCGGAGACCGGAGAAGGAGAGGGGAUAAAUAAUCGUUUCUUCUAAAGAUUUUGCAGAAGCACCCUGUAGAAAUCCCGUAUUUCUUGCUCAGGUAAGAGUGAGGUUCUCUUGUUGAGGACAUAUCUCGGGCACAUGAAAGUUUGGUGCACAUGGUGCAUAUAUUAAAUCAUCAUCACUCAUUUUAGAUCUAAUGUCUCUAAUUGAUCAUUCAAUUUACAAAUAACACCUUCCACCACUACACACCACCACGUUGGAGGGUGUUCUUAGCAAAAUAUACCAAACAAUUAGAGACGUUAGAUCUAAAAUGAGUGGUGAUAAUUUAAUAUAUACACCACGUGCACCAUAUAUGUUUCCUCUCUUGUUCUCUAUAUGAAUAAUACAUACAUGCAGCCAACUAUUUAAAUCUUAAAUUUAAAAAGUAAAAAAACACUUCUCCAAUAGUUUUUUAAGUGCUUGUUUGAUGGCUAAAUUUAGUUACUUACCAUCUAACGACAUUUACUGUCCAAAUUUGAUAACUUGAUAGUAACUCCUAAAACACAGUUGUCGUUGAUUCAUUCACACCUACGAUGUUUAUUUUUUUCUCUCUUUUCCAUACUGCGAGGUAGUCAUAUCUGACAUUUUUUCAUUUCUUGUGCAGUUAGGCAGUCAUGUCCGAUAUGUAUGACAUAACCUUCUCCUGCACUGUCGGACCAUCACUCACCCACAUGUCACAUCGCUAGACUAUCUCUUCCCAACAGGUCACGUCGAUCGACCUUCACCUCUGUCCUUGAUGUCCACUAUCCUCGAUCUUAUCGUGAGACAGAUUAUAUGGGAGCAGGGCUAUCAAAACUAAAUUUAAAAUCAAACUAUUAUUUAAAUAUGAGGAACUGUUAGAACCAAAAUAUUUUUUUAGCUCCAAUAACUAUUUAACAACUAGCUAAAUAUAAAUUUAUGAAGCUUUUUCUAGAGAACUAUUGUAGUUGUUCCCACGUGCAAGAGCCUUAGGCCCUGUUUAAACCCAUAGAGCUAGCUAAUAAACUAACUAUUAGCUAUGAUUUAACUAGUAAUUAGCUGGUUUUGUUUAGAAUCUUUAAGGUUGUAAAGUUAUUUUUAGUAGGUAAUUAUUAGCUCUAGAGAUUUUAUCUUCCAUUUCAAACUCAACUUUAUAAAUAAUAUGUACAAUUCACCGUGCAAAAAUAGUGUUUUAUACGUGUGUGUGUGUAUAUAUAUAUAUAUAUAUAAAUAUAUAUAUAUUUAUAUAUACAUAUAUAAUCUGUUGAUCAUAGUCUUACAUUUUUUG